AGUCCAUGAUGAUAAUCCAAAGGCUUGUUUCUCAAGAACAUUCACACUCGCUGCCUAAGAGCUUUCGCCGGGCUUGAGAGCUUAUGCUGCUUUAUUCCUUCCCUGGAUGUCUGAGACU